rnacentral:tRNA from 5 species
GGCCGCGUGGCCUAAUGGCUAAGGCGCUAGAUUUCGGUCCUCAGCAUCUGAUUCUCUAGAGAUUCCAGGUUCGACUCCUGGCGUGGUCG